rnacentral:snRNA from 1 species
GGUCCCAAGGCUCGCUUC